CCCUUAGAUGUUCUGGGCUGCACGCGCGCUACACUGAAGCUAUCAACACGUUUUCCCUCCCUGAGAAGGGCGGGUAACCUUUUGAAUCAGCUUCGUGGUAGGGAUCGGGGCUUGCAAUUGUUCCCCGUGAACCAGGAAUUCCUAGUAGACGCGAGUCAUAAGCUCGCAUCGAUUAAGUCCCUGCCCUUUGUACACACCGCCCGUCGCUACUACCGAUUGAACGUUUUAGUGAGGCAUUUGGACCGACGCAUCUCAGUUUAACCGCUGGUUUGUGUUGUAAAGACUUCCAAACUUGAGCGUUUAGAGGAAGUAAAAGUCGUAACA
rnacentral:rRNA from 1 species